GGGGAUAUAGCUCAGUGGUAUAGGGUGUGUCCAGCAUGCACAAGGUCCUGGGUUCAAUCCCCAGUACCCACA
rnacentral:tRNA from 1 species